GGGAAGUAAAGUCGUAACAAGGUUUCCGUAGGUGAACCUGCGGAAGGAUCAUUAAAAAAUAUACCGUUUUGAUGGUGUGAUUAAUAAUCCUACCCUUUGUGAAUUUGUUGUUUGAAAAUUUUUUGUCUAUCCUGAUGGUUUCUGUUUUGAUGAGUUGAAUAAAAGUCAAUCCAGGGAAUGGCCAAACGAUAAUUUUUUGACUUUUUAAAUUAAACUUUUUGUAUUCAUUUGUCUAAAAUUAUUUUUAUAAUAUAAAAACAACCUUUGACAAUGGAUCUCUUGGUUCUCGCAACGAUGAAGAACGCAGCAAAAUGCGAUAAGUAGUGUGAAUUGCAGAAUACGUGAAUCAUCGAAUCUUCGAACGCAUAUUGCACUUUUUUAGUUUACUAAAAAAGUAUGUCUGUUUGAGUAUCAGUAAAUAUUCUCAUAAAAACUUUUUUGUUUUUUAUGGUUAUGAGUGUUUUACAACGAUACAAGUUGUUUCACUUUAAAUUUUUUUAAAAUUUGAAAUUUUUUUUUCUAAUUUAAAAAUAAAUUGGAUAAAAUUUUCCCGUAAAAAGGAAUAACCUUAAACAAUUUUAAUUUUAUUUAGGUUUAAUUUCAAGACUUAAAAGGAAAAUUUAUUUUAAAUAACUUGAUCUCAAAUCAGAUAAGAGUACCCGCUGAACUUAAGCAUAUCAAUAAGCGGAGGAAAAGAAACUAACAAGGAUUCCCUUAGUAACGGCGAGUGAAGCGGGAAGAGCUCAAUUUGAAAUCUUCAAGGUUUACCUUGACGAAUUGUAGUUUAAAGAAGUGUUUUCUGUUGAAGUUUUGGUAAAAGUUCUUUGGAAUAGGACAUCAUAGAGGGUGAGAAUCCCGUAUUUGACCAUUAUUUUCAGCUGUGUGAUACACUUUCAAAGAGUCGGAUUGUUGGGAAUGCAGUCCAAAAUGGGUGGUAAAUUUCAUCUAAAGCUAAAUAUUGGCGAGAGACCGAUAGCGAACAAGUACCGUGAGGGAAAAAUGAAAAGAACUUUGAAAAGAGAGUUAAACAGUACGUGAAAUGUCAAAAGGGAAGCGUUUGACACCAGUGUUGUUUUCUCGAAAAUCAAUUAAAAAAGGCCGGAUUUUGUGUUGUAUUGACCUUAAAAGCUUUCUUCACUCUUUUCUGUCUUUUUUAAUGCACUUUUCGUUUAACAAGUCAACAUCAGUUUCUUUUGUUGUAAAAGGGUCAUUGGAAGGUGGCUUUCUUUUCGGAGAAAGUGUUUAUAGCCUUUGAUCUCUGCAACCGGAGAGACUGAGGUCUGCAGCGUAGACUCUUCGGGGUUAAAUACAUUUGUGCUAAGCUAUAGCUUUUUAUAGACAACUUGUUGACUAUAUUUAGUCUUGUGGCUUACUCGCUUAUGCUAUUUUACCUACGCUUAGGAUGUUGAG
rnacentral:misc_RNA from 1 species